rnacentral:misc_RNA from 1 species
CCCCGGCUACCCCCUCAAAAGAAGCAGUAGAAGAUCUAUUGAGACUGGACCCAACCCUCUCUCUUUAAUCUACUCUUCUCUCUAAUCCCCACUCCGAUCCCCCAGAAGAAUUUUCCCAAAACGACAACUCUUAAUCCAAUCCUAGAAAAUUGAAAUCAAGCAGAUUCUAUGCACCGAAAUAACCCCACACCAUGCAGAUCUAAGGAACGAAAGGUACACAAGAGAAAGAGAGAGAAAGAUAUGAGAAUUUUCCGGGAAAAAGAAGGAUAAUGAGGGAAAGUAACGGAAAGAAGAAUGGAUAGAGAUUAAAGAUCGAAAGAACUAGGGUUUGGUGUUUUCUUCAAAGAAGACGUCUCACAAAG